GCCUGAAAUGACACAUGCUUACAUCAUCACACGGCAGUCAGACACGACGAGCGGCAGCAGCUCGCUGGCGAGGGGGAGGAUGCGCUUCACACAACGUGAGACGCAUUCAUAACCUAUCAGCAUCUCAGCUCUGUCCCCGAGCAGGAAUUACUGCACACAAAUCCACUUAAGAGCCAUUAGGUGAAAGUUGUUUCUAAGCCCAACGGAAAAAGCAAUAAACCUGAAUCAACCCAAACUCAAGCUUUUAAAAAUGCAUCCAAUAUACAAGCAUUUACAAACACAUCUGUGUUUUGGAGUUCAUAAGAUCUGAAAUGAGGGGGUUCGUUGAAUUUUAUUCAGUUAGAUGUGAAUAUGAUCAAAUUCCUGCAUGCUGUGAUAUUUCCGUCUCUCUUCAUCCGAGACAAAGCCUUCAGACGGGACGCUGUCGUCUUCUACAGGCGGAUGCUGCUGCCAUCCAGCUAGAGGCUGUGGAAUAGCAUGCGUCCGAGAUCAGCGAGAGACGGGACUGUGCAACCUGCUUCGCUUUCAUCCCUGAGCUCCGUGUGUGUGACCGAGACGAAGGAAGAAAGGAAAAGCACAGCUCAUUCCUUCCAAACCAGCAAAACCUGCAUCCUCAGACAGCAGCGUAUGAAGCUCUCGUGUGUGUGUGUGUGUGUGUGUGUGUGUGUGUGUCGCUGCCGGCUCGAGCACUGUCUGCCCGAGUCAAACACACACACACUGCCCGCUUUCUGAGAGCUGCACUGCAUGUCAGUCCCGUCCACCCAUAUCUGCUCUUCUGAGGGAUCGUCUGGAGCACCUCGCAUGCUUUUUGUCUUCUGCAGAGGGAUCGGGAGCGUGAUGGAGUUACGUCAGUGAUUUCAUUUGCUCCGGGACGUUGAGACUGUGAAAAUAAAGGCGGAUGAAUGUGGACUGGGCACUCGUGCGUUUCGAUGGGAUGAGAUUUGGAGGGAAAUACACUUCUGAGUGUGUUUGCGGGAAGAGGAUAAACAUUCAGCCGGUCUGAUGCAGUCAGGUCAUGUCAAAGGAGAAAAGAUGUGUAAAUGCGUUCCUUCGAUCGCUUCACCAGCUUUCCUCCAACUUUUCAGCAGCUGUGGAUGAGCGCUCAGAUCCGGAGGUCUGCCGGCCGGGCAUCAGAAGGAAACCGCCCAGGAGAGCUUUAGUCCGAGUUAUAGCGCAUGUUUCAUUGGGAUAUCUGACAGAGUUUAGUGAAAUUAUUUGUUUGCACAUAAUGGAAAAAAUCCACUGAAUAAAAACACAAUUAAUUAGAACUUAUACGUCUUGGUGCAAUAAUUAGUUAAACACUUUUUAAGACAUUGUUUACUGUGGAUGAACUGAAUAAAUUGGUGUUUGUAGCAUUA